UGCGCCAGUGCGGGUACCCCGGGACUGACACGCACGCCUCCCCGCCCCCGGAAACGGGUCUUGGAGAAAAGAUCGCUCCUUGCGAGUGGGUUUUUCUCCUCACAUCCUCGUUUUUAAAGGCUUUACGUGUUUCCAAAGCGAGAGAAUGAUUUGACUCUACCCUACCCACCCUAUCCUUGGCCUCUUUUGUGUUGCCAUCAGUUCACCGGCUGUAGAGGCUGCUUGUUUAAAAACUCGAGGAAGCAUUAUGUCUCAAGGUGCUCCCCACCCACAGUGGAGAAGUGUUCACUGUUGAGAGAACCCCGACAUGACUCCGAGCAGACGCGGUCGGCUCCAGGUGCGCUAGAGGUGCUGGAGAAGGAGAAGGCCCAUGAUGUAAUUUAGGAAGUCUGAUUUCCUGUGCUGGUCUCAUUUUGUGAGACCAUCUGUGGCGGCCCAUUUCUAAACAGGCACACACCCCGGAGGGAAGUCAAGGUCACCCUGUGUGUGGACAGGACUCAUCUUUCCGUACAGAAGUAAUACCUCUGUGGCCAAGUCCUAGGAUAAAUACGAUUUAUUUAUCCUAGGGGGAAGGAGAGGAACACUUAAAUGCCCCUGGGUGCUUCAUGACUUUAUUUAAAACAAUAUAAAUAAAUUCUACAUUAAAACUGACCAUAAUGAAAUUAA